rnacentral:rRNA from 1 species
ACUUACGGCCACAACACAUUGGAAAGCACCGGAUCUCGUUCGAUUACCAAAGCAACGUGGAGCCUAGUCAGUGCUUAGAUGGGCGAACGCUUGCGAAACCUUGGUGCUGUAUGCU